UAAAAUCAUUAGCAAUUUCGUAUCCGACUUUAUCAUUUUACGUUGCUUCGUAUAAAUUAUUCGUUGUUCUUAACGCACGAAAUCGUCUGCGAAUAUCGGUGCGCUGAUCAAAUAAUAAACGUGCCGAAAUCGGUACAAGUGGACGCGAAGCAUGUCGUUAGAGUAUACGGGCCGAAGAGAAGUUUAUUAUCCAAUUUGGUGGGGCCGAAGGAAUAUGCGUCGCGUGGAUGCAGUCGGACGUGCUCGACACGUGGUUGUCGAUACUCCAGGCUCCUGCCGAGAAACACAGACCUCCCAGCGUCAUCCGACCACCAUCUGCACGAAACCACGUUGACGCGAAGGCAAAGCGUGACGAAUGGGAACCUGUCGCUGCACGUGCGAGGACAAACGGUAAUUUAUUUUUA